AUGAUAAACAUUAUGAAUAAAUAUUUUUUCUCAAAAUACUGUAAUACAAAAGUAAAUUUAUUUCAAAAAUAUUUUUUUAAAAAGAAGAAACUUAUGCGAAGAAGAAGUUACAACUCCAUUUUUUGCAACAUAUGCAAUGUUAUUUUUUUUUCGUUAAAUUCUUAUUUCAUAAAGAAAUACAUACUUUCAAAAAACGUUAAUAUAUUUUAUUUAGAAGAUAAAACAAAUGCUUAUUUGGAAAAAAAAUAUAAGACUAAGACUCCGUAUAUAAAAACAGAAAGUGGUAUACUCUAUAAGGACCUAAUAGAUGGAGAAGGAGACCCAAUAGAAGAAGGUGAUAUCGUAUAUAUCCAUUACCAAGGAAAAACAACAAAUGAUUUUCGAAUUAUCCAAUCAACAUUCAAAAGUAUUAUUCCACCUAAAAUUAAAGCUGGGUGUUAUGAUAGAAUGCAUAUACCAGCUAUUUACGAAAUGGUUAUUAAUAUGAAAAAACAUACGAGGAGACAAUGUAUUAUUCCUCCACAUAUGGGUUUACCCAAUCAUUUCCCUAAUCAAGUAAGUCAAAAAAAAAAAAAAAAAAAAAAAAAUUAACAAUGAAAGCAGAGUUAGCAAAAUCUUCUUUCGUGCAACUUAAUUCGAAUAUUCCUCAAUUUACUCAAUUUUUUUUUAUUUUUAUUUUAUAGCCCCUUCUUUACGAAAUAGACGUUGUCAGAAUAGUAAAAAAGAACGCACCACAAAAAACACUUUUGGAAAAAAUCAAAGCGCAAAUUGAAUAUUUGAAAAAUAUUAUUUUUACUUUCUUUUAAUUUAUUAUAUACGUCAAUGUAAAAAAUAUAUAUAUAUAUAUAUAUCUAUUAAGCAUCAUUUAUGUAUCUUUUGGUAUCAUUUGUUUUUAAUUUUUUUUUUUUUUUUUUUUUAUCACUAAAACAAUUACUUUAUACUGAGCACUUUCUUUCUUGUUUGUCUGCCUAUUUACCAUUUAGACUAUUAUUUCAACUUUUAUCAUUCAUCUUCCACCAAUUCAUUCAUUAUACUUGAUGCAAUGUGGUUUAACUUUUUUUUCUCUUCUACUUUUUUUACACAAUCACCAUUUACAACACCAUUUACAACACCAUUUACAACACCAUUUACAACACCAUUUACAACNNNNNNNNNNCCAUUUACAACACCAUUUACAACACCAUUUACAACACCAUUUACAACGCCAUUUUCAACACCAUUUACAACGCCAUUUUCAACACCAUUUACAACACCAUUUUCAACACCAUUUACAACACCAUUUACAACGCCAUUUUCAACGCCAUUUUCAACACCAUUUUCAACACCA
rnacentral:lncRNA from 1 species